rnacentral:rRNA from 1 species
AUUGAACGCUGGCGGCAGGCUUAACACAUGCAAGUCGAGCGGAGAGAAGUAGCUUGCUACUGAUCUUAGCGGCGGACGGGUGAGUAAUGCUUAGGAAUCUGCCUAUUAGUGGGGGACAACAUUUCGAAAGGAAUGCUAAUACCGCAUACGUCCUACGGGAGAAAGCAGGGGAUCUUCGGACCUUGCGCUAAUAGAUGAGCCUAAGUCGGAUUAGCUAGUUGGUGGGGUAAAGGCCUACCAAGGCGACGAUCUGUAGCGGGUCUGAGAGGAUGAUCCGGCACACUGGGACUGAGACACGGCCCAGACUCCUACGGGAGGCAGCAGUGGGGAAUAUUGGACAAUGGGCGGAAGCCUGAUCCAGCCAUGCCGCGUGUGUGAAGAAGGCCUUAUGGUUGUAAAGCACUUUAAGCGAGGAGGAGGCUACUUUAGUUAAUACCUAGAGAUAGUGGACGUUACUCGCAGAAUAAGCACCGGCUAACUCUGUGCCAGCCGCCGCGGUAAUAC